UACGUAGGGAGCAAGCGUUGUCCGGAAUCAUUGGGCGUAAAGCGCGCGUAGGUGGCCCGGUAAGUCCGCUCUGAAAGCCACAGGCUCAACCUGUGAAAGCGGGUGGAUACUGCCGGGCUAGAGUCCGGAAGAGGCGAGUGGAAUUCCUGGUGUAGCGGUGGAAUGCGCAGAUAUCAGGAGGAACACCAACGGCGAAGGCAGCUCGCUGGGACGGUACUGACACUGAGGCGCGAAAGCGUGGGGAGCGAACAGG
rnacentral:rRNA from 1 species